UGUGUACUCCCUCCGUUCCAAAAUACUUGACUUCCAUUUGUCCAAAAAAGGAUGUACCUAUAUACUAAGACAUGUCUAGAUACAUAUAUAUUUUGACAAAUAGAAGGCAUGUAGUAUUGUGCAACGGAGGGAGUAGAAU
rfam:Triticum urartu cultivar G1812 contig552355, whole genome shotgun sequence.